rnacentral:lncRNA from 1 species
GGGUCUUUGAUUGGUUAGGAUUGUUUCUGUUAGGAUUGUUUUGUGAAAUUUUAGGUAGGAUUUUGUCAUAGUCUUGUUUCAGUUACUGAUGUUUGUUAUCAUCUUAGGUUUGGUAUUGACCCAUGUAUCCAUGCUUUCAUCCGUGCAACUUGGCAAGGAUACUACAUGGGUCCUUGGAAGAGUUGGAAUAAGGUGCCUGAGGAAAGGAAGGAUUCCUGGUGGCAAACGUUUGUGGUAAUCAAAAAUUUCAUUUUUUUUUAAAUCUCUUACUGUUAUUAUUUCCUGUUUCUAAACCUCUUACUGUUUUGUUUUUUGUUGUAGCAAAAUUUCUACUGGGAGCCUCAAUUUAAUGAUUUGGUCUACGGUCUGUGGAAGAAGGAAACGAUGACAACCGUUGGUGAAAGGAUUAGUAAGAAGAAGAGGCAACACAAGAAGCCAAAGUACAUCAAUGAUAGCGACUGGACACUGCUUCUGGAGUAUUGGGCGACUGAUGAAGCUAAAAAGAAAAGCAAGAAGGCUGCUAAAAGCCGCAAGGCUGAUCCUGUGGGUAAAGGGUGCCACAAGCAUAAUGCAGGCCCUAGGUGUUUUGCAAGGAUAGCGUAUAACAUGGUAUCUUCCAUGUCUGUACUAUAAAUAAUUUUUUUUCUAAUCUGUCUUCCUAAUUUCUUUUUUUUGCAGACGCAAGCCUCUGGUGAACCACCAUCCUACACUGCCCUUGUCAGGGAGACACACUCCCGACCAGAUGGGACUUUUGUGGACUAUCGGGCUGAAGAACUGGUAACUCAGGCCGAGAUGGAAGCCACACAGCUCUCUAACACUGAAGGAUCACCAGGGAGUCCAAGUGCAUCAUCUGCUCCUUCUCGCCUCAUGUUAAACAAGGCUUAUCUGAAGGUAUGAUAGCUUAACAUUUUUAUUCUCAGACACUUUUAAUCUUCUGUUCUGUUUUGACAAUUGCAUUACAUGUGUUACCUGAGUUGAUCAAAUAGCCUUAUGUUAGUUUCUGUUUGCUCUUGCUUGGUUUUGAAUAUUUUUCCAUUUCUCUUGACAGAAUGCUAAGAGUAAGAGGGGAUAUGUUUACGGACUGGGCAGUGAACAAUUCAGGGAGCAUGCGCCUUCUUCACGCGUCCCCAAUGGUAUUGCCCGCAACCUGGACCUGGAGAUGCGUGUGGGCGGUCUUGAGACAACCCUCCAAAGUGUCACUUCUGAUGUUGCUGGGGUGAAACAGGACGUCUCAGACAUGAGGCAGGACUUUGCAGCAACAAGGGAAGCAAUCAAUCAGCUCCUCCAAACACUUAGGCCCCCGCAAGCACCUACUGGACAGACUUCUGAUCAUCAGGCUCAAGCACCAACUGGUCAGCCUAAUCCUCUCAAUGGCAUUUAGAAGUUGGUACUUUAUUUUAUAACCUCUUUUGUAACAAGGUCUUUUGAUAGUCUUCUUAGACUCAAAACUUUUAACCUUGUCUUAUGUAACUUUUUAUGAAUGUUGAACCUUGACUAUUUUGUAUAUUAAGCUCUGUGUUUAUUGAAUGUGCAAUUUUAAUAAUUUGAAUGAAUCUCUAAUAUGAAAAUUGGCUAAUUAAAACUAAUCAAACCGAAUGUUUUUCAAAACAGUGGAUACUAUAAAUGUUGAAUCUUAGUAGCUAAAUCGUGGCUAUAAUAACCACUGAAAAACAGUUUUAAACCGUGGCUAAUAGUGCCACGUCGAAUAAGUGGCAG